UGGAAGGGCUUUAUUUAUUUUUAUUUGUAAAUCGCUGCAGCUUUUUUUUUUUAAUUUUUUAUUUAUUUUGGCUUGGUUGGUUUGUUUGAAUGAGCCCUUCCCAGAGCUAGAAAAAGAACUCUUGUUUGUUUUUUAUGGCCCCCGUUUAGCCAUAUAGUGGCACGAUUGAUGGUUUGGGUCUCAUGCCUUAAGGCUGAAAAGGCGUUUGGGCCCCUUGCUUAAGUUCCUCUAGACUGUGUGGUCUCCCUUCAUCUACAGCUCAGGUCACGUCCCUCUCCCUUCUGGGGCAAUGAUGGACUGCCAAGAACCUUAGGUCUGAGGGACCUCUUUUCCCUUUGAUACGUGAGCCACCUUGUUUAGCGGUUCCCCUCCCCCCCCCGCCCCAUCUCGAGCAUUCAGGUGUCGUCCCUGGCCCUCCCGGCUCUUUUUAGUCCCUUUUCUUUGAGUGGGUGCCCUGUCAUUAGGUGGCAGGUCACAUGACUCGCUUAUUGGGGGUUAGUGAGCCCUUUGGGCACCUAGAGCGGUGAGACCUGCCUGCAAUUAGAAUUCAGAGGUGCCUCAUUUUUGCUUUCACGUGACUCUUCUCCUUUGGCUUCUGAGUCAGUGACCGUCCUGUAGGAAGGGUGCAGGUCUCGUCAGUGGGGAUCUGGAGAGGGUGGUACCUAGAGCAGCGAGACCACUCCGUAACUAUGGUUCAGAUCAUUCCCCUCUUUUUCUCUUGGGCUCACGAACCCUUGACAGGCUGCUUGGUGUGACCUCCCUGUAAACAGGGCAUAGGUCACUUCUUUCUCAUUUAUUUGGGAUUAGGGGGCCGUCUUGGUCCCCCGAGAGCUCCCUGUAACUUACAGUAGAGACCAAAACCCUUCUUAGCAUAAUGACAUGAUGCUGCUCUUUCAGGCUAGCCAGAGUGACCAUACUGUAAUUAGGGCUCAGGUCACGUCCCUCUCGCUUAUGGGGGGAAUUCAGGUCUUAAUCGCUUGGACCUUUGAGAGAGACCUCCCUGUAAUCAGGGUUGCGGUCCUUCUCUUUUUGCUGUUGUGGGAUUCUGGCCCUUUAGGCUCAGCAGAGGGCCCUCCUCCAUGGUUAGGGUGCAAGUUAAGUUGGCCUCUCUGAUGCUCCCGGCACAGUGCUGUCCCUCUGGAGUGCCUUUCAAGCUCGUCCUAGGUUCUGCAGCAACGCCUCCUGGGUUUUGCCUCGCUUUUGAUCGUCGGAGUCCAGAGAGUCUGCAACAACUGUUGGUGAAUUCAAGCGAGGAAGCUGGAAACCUGGCUCUGCAGAAGGGCAUCAGUUGAGCCUUUGGCACUUUGGGAGACUUGGAGGCCUGGGCAUCGAGUGUGCCAUCAAAGCGCAUGAUGGGACAGCUCAGAAUUCCCUUCCAGCUAUAGGUCGAAGGCUGCCUGUAGAGGCAAGAAGACAAGAUUCAAAGUGGCCAUCACUGAGAAACUGGUGCACACGGAGCUGGUCCAGAUGAACGGUACCUACUGGUGUGUGACUGCCCAGAACCACUCUAUUGAGCUAAAUGGAAAGCCCUGCCCUCGAGACAUCCAUCCGUGUGCAUGAUGGUCCCCCGAAGGGGAACCCUGACUGACAGGACGCGGCUCCACCGUACUCCACCAAUGACGGGUAACCUAACAUGGGAUCCGGAAUGGCACUACAGCAUGAGGAAGCUGGAAACCUGGCUCCACAGUAGGGCAUCAGUUGAGCCUUUGGCAUGUUUGGAGAGUUGGAGGCCUGUGUGUCAAGUGUGCCGUCAAAGCGCAUGAUGGGACAGCUCAGAAUUCCCUUCCAGUUAUAGGUCGAAGGCUGCCUGUAGAGGCAAGAAGACAAGCACAUGAGGAAGAAAAGGGGAAGGAGGAAAGAAAAGACGAUGAAGAUGGAAGAGGAGGAGAAAAUACGCACCGGGCACUGUCCUGUAACUAGGGUGGAAGUCGCUCUUUGUGGGGUGGGGGAAGAGAGAGUGAGCCUGAACCUGGUAGUACCUCAAGCAGCGAGACCUCCCUGUAAGUAGGGUGCAGGUCUCUUUACUCCUUGACUCCGUUAGGUGUCUGGAGAGAGUGACCACCCUGUAAGAAUGGUGCAGGUGACACCCCUGUGACCUCCGUGAGGAGGUUGAGCUCUUUAAUCCCUAUGGGCAAUGUAGCCUCCCUGUAAGUAGAGUUCAGGUCUUGCCUUUUGCUGUGGUGGGUUUAAGAACCGUUGGGAUGCUACUCGGUGACCUCCCUGUAAUCGGGGUCCGGCUCACGUCCCUGUCGUUGGUGGGGUUUAGGCCUUGCUUAUUAGGCUGGAUGCCAGUGACCUACCUGUAACUUUGGGUUUUGGUCUCCUCUUC